AAGAAGAAGAAGAAGAAGAAGAAGAAGAAGAAGAAGAAGCCAAAGCUAUAGGAUUUGAUGUCAGUGAUCUGAGGCACACACUUUGAGAAACAAUGACAGAACUGGAAAACAUGCUCCAGUUAUAAAUAGCUGCACAGAUCACACAGCUGAUCUGUUGUGUAACUGGGAUAGACCUGGCUCUUCCCACUGCUAUACAGAACAUUUUCCACUCUUAGUAUACGUUUAUAAGCUUUGAGUGUAUGCUGGUUGCCAUGGGAGCACUGCAGCUUGAUGAUAUCCUACAGCCAACUGUAGCUGUGUUUGGAGGCACAUGAUGACAGCCAUCUUUAGAAGAAUCUAACGUCAUGGUUUAUUAUGGUUUUUAUAGCUUCUACUUUCCUGUAAAUUCUUUGAAAAUUGUAAAUAUGCUUGCUGACACCAUGAUCAUUUGUCAGAAGAAAAUGCCUUGUGAGCCAGGAUAUGCAAAUUGGUUGGAGGUAACCCUAACUGAGUAAGUCAACGAAGGAAUGAGAGUUGGCCCAAAGGUGUUGCAAUGUAGGAAAUGUCAUUCUGGCUGAGAGCACCGACUAUCAUUGGAAGGAAUAUAUCAGGACUUGGGAGUUUGAUCACAAAGGACCACCUCAUUGAACAAAGGUGGCUCAUGCAGUUUCCUAAGACAGAUCUUUGUGGUAACCUGUCUGUAACGCAGCUAAGACAGAAGAAUCACCAUUGGCUACACAGUAAGUUCCAGGCUAGCGUGGGCUACAGAGUAAAGUACGGUGUCAAAAAACAACUGCCCAGAUAACCAAUGAAAGACCUGUAUUACAAACAAAGCAGAAAUACAAAAUAUCCCCAAACCAGAACUUCUUGGGCACUACUGUGGUCUGAGUGUGGAAAGUCCACUGUAGGUUCAUAGGUGGGAAACUCUGGGCCCAGCUGGUUUCACUGUUUGGGAAGGUUGUGAAACCUUUAGGAAAUGGAGGUUUGCUGGAGGAAGUGGGUCACUAGGGGACAGGCCUUGAGGUUACAUAAUCUGCUCCCAUUUCUCUUUCACUCUCUGCUUCCUGGUGGUUGACUAACAAGCCUCUUGCUCCAGGCCAUCACCAUUAUGAUAAAAUGUGUCAUCCUGUACCUUGAUGCAGAACAAAUCCUUCCUUCUGCAAUGGCAUCUUGUGGAUAUUGUGUCAUAGCAGGAAGAAAAGUAGCUAACAGAGACACCAAGAUGAUGUCACCUGUGGCAAAAUCUACUGCCUGUGAAACCUUACACAGAGUUAUUGAAAUAUAUAUCUACCUUCAAACUAUGCUCCAGGAAGAACGUGCUGAGCCUGGGGAGCUGGAGAGGGAGAGAGGCCAUUAUGGCCAUCACAAUACCAUCAACAUGUCACAGUAGCCAGGUCCCUCUGCCAAGUACUCAUAUCUCUGCUUGGCUGAACACCAGCCUAGGCUAAGGUACAGUUAGAAAGAAUAGCAGUUUCAUUGGAAGGAACUGACAGAAAACAACCCUUCAUGUGAGCUUCACUGGGAGAAAGACUCUGGAUGACAGGCCUUCAUGAUUGGAAUUUGAAGUGGCAGAACAUUAGAUCCGAGCUGAGACUGUAGUCAAGGACAUAGCAGAAAGAAGAGGGAAGAGAAGCCAGGAGGAAAUCUGGACAGCUCUGACACGGAGGACGGAGUCCUGGUGUCAGCCGCCCCAAGCCGAGAACUCGAGUCUCAUGGUUAGUUGGUAGAGACAGUAAAGAGAAACUAUCAAAGCUGUCCAAGACGUGACUGAGCGACCCAACACGCUUCUCAGAUGGAACUUGGGAAAUGGUGUCUCAAGGGAUCCACACAGCCUGUGAGAACUGUAACUACACACCAUCACUUUGUUCUGUGAGCAGUCCAAGGACACUGAGGAUGCUGGCUUGAGGAAACCUGCCCGAGCCCUCAGGAAGCAAUAGCUGAAACGGCUAACCCACCAUCUCUCCGUUGCCAAAGGCUGCCUGCCCAGCACUUCCACAGCAGUCUAGCUGCUCCACAGUAGCAUUAAGAACCCAAAGUCUUCUCAAAACAGGCAAAGGGCUGGGUGUUGUUCCCUCAAAGUAGCUGCUGACCCCAUCUUACUGACCAACAAUGGAAAACAGCAAGGGGAGCUAUUCAGGGAGAAGGACACCUGCAGAGUGGGGAGGGGGACCUUGUGCACAUAGAAAAACACUGGAGAAGCCAGGAAAGUUACACACACAGCUUACCUCUUCAGUGGACUGGAAGGCCAGGAGUGGUGGAAUCAGCCUGUGGUCCUUUGCUGUCUGUUUUAAGGUCUCAGUAAUCUGAAAGCUGCUGGAAACAUCGGGCUCCCAGCAGUGAAGAGAUGCUGGCCUCCUGGGUACAGACCAAGUUUCCAUUUCUGUGAAAACGAUGGUGUGAUCCCUGGAGCUGUAGCAGCUUGCUUGAGGCAGCCCUCCCAUUAACCAGAAAGUACCAGGAGACUGCGGUGAUAAGGAGACCCACCACCAACUGCUUCCUUCUAGCCUUGAGAGAUGAAAAGGCUUCCUGAAGCAUCUGAUGCCCACGAGCCGAGCCGAGCCGCGGGACCCAGUUGCUGUGGGAGAAGAAAGGGUGAUGUGGGCAUGGCUCUAGUGUUUUCCUGAAGACAGCACUAAAACAAACCGAACAAAACAAACAAACUAAACUAAAAACCUAUAGCAAUCUUAAAAGCCAAGACAGAGCUAAAUGACAAGGCAGUGUUUGGUUUCAGGCCCCGGUACAAGGGACUGAGGUGCACAGUUAACACAGCAAAGCAGAUCAGGCCUCUAGGCCCACCUAGCAUCCCUCAGUCCCCGUGUGCCUUACCUGGACCCCAACCCUAAACUUUCCAGCCCAGGGGCUGGGAUGCCCUUCCCCCAGGGGCUCCUCCCUAUAUAAUCCCCUCCUAGAGGCUCUUCCCCCUAAUCCAGACAUUUUGUGCUCUCUCUCUCUCUCUCUCUCUCUCUCUCU